UGUUUCGGCUAGGGGGCCAUCCCGGCUUACCAACCCGAUGCAAACUGCGAAUACCGGAGAAUGUUAUCACGGGAGACACACGGCGGGUGCUAACGUCCGUCGUGAAGAGGGAAACAACCCAGACCGCCAGCUAAGGUCCCAAAGUCAUGGUUAAGUGGGAAACGAUGUGGGAAGGCCCAGACAGCCAGGAUGUUGGCUUAGAAGCAGCCAUCAUUUAAAGAAAGCGUAAUAGCUCACUGGUCGAGUCGGCCUGCGCGGAAGAUGUAACGGGGCUAAACCAUGCACCGAAGCUGCGGCAGCGACACUCAGGUGUUGUUGGGUAGGGGAGCGUUCUGUAAGCCUGCGAAGGUGGCCUGUGAGGGUUGCUGGAGGUAUCAGAAGUGCGAAUGCUGACAUAAGUAACGAUAAAGCGGGUGAAAAGCCCGCUCGCCGGAAGACCAAGGGUUCCUGUCCAACGUUAAUCGGGGCAGGGUGAGUCGACCCCUAAGGCGAGGCCGAAAGGCGUAGUCGAUGGGAAACGGGUUAAUAUUCCCGUACUUGGUGUUACUGCGAAGGGGGGACGGAGAAGGCUAUGUUGGCCGGGCG
rnacentral:rRNA from 1 species